CAGUAGCCACGGGAAUACGUAGGUGGCAAGCGUUGUCCGGAUCUAUUGGGCGUAAAGCGAGCGCAGGCGGUCAAUUAAGUCUGAUGUGAAAGCCCCCGGCUCAACCGGGGAGGGUCAUUGGAAACUGGUUGACUUGAGUGCAGAAGAGGAGAGUGGAAUUCCAUGUGUAGCGGUGAAAUGCGUAGAUAUAUGGAGGAACACCAGUGGCGAAGGCGACUCUCUGGUCUGUAACUGACGCUGAGGCUCGAAAGCGUGGGUAGCAAACAGGAUUAGAUACCCCAGUAGUCCCUGUCUCUUAUAC
rnacentral:rRNA from 1 species